AACGCUAGCUACAGGCUUAACACAUGCAAGUCGCGGGGUAACGACGGAGAAAGCUUGCUUUUUCCGGGCGACGACCGGCGCACGGGUGAGUAACGCGUAUCCAACCUGCCCUAUACAAAGGCACAGCCCGGCGAAAGUCGGAUUAAUGCCUUAUGAAGUGAGAAGAAGACAUCUGAUUUUCACUAAAGCUUCGGCGGUAUAGGAUGGGGAUGCGUCCGAUUAGGUAGACGGCGGGGUAACGGCCCACCGUGCCGACGAUCGGUAGGGGUUCUGAGAGGAAGGUCCCCCACACUGGAACUGAGACACGGUCCAGACUCCUACGGGAGGCAGCAGUGAGGAAUAUUGGUCAAUGGGCGAUAGCCUGAACCAGCCAAGUAGCGUGAGGGAAGACGGCCCUAUGGGUUGUAAACCUCUUUAGUCCGGGAAUAAAGUGGGCGACGUGUCGCCUAUUGCAUGUACCGGAAGAAUAAGGACCGGCUAAUUCCGUGCCAGCAGCCGCGGUAAUACGGAAGGUCCGGGCGUUAUCCGGAUUUAUUGGGUUUAAAGGGAGCGCAGGCGGUCUGAUAAGCGGGCAGUGAAAGACGGUGGCUCAACCAUCGAGGUGCUGUCCGAACUGUCGGACUUGAGUACGUGCGAGGCAGGCGGAAUUCGUGGUGUAGCGGUGAAAUGCUUAGAUAUCACGAAGAACCCCGAUUGCGAAGGCAGCUUGCCAGUGCGCCACUGACGCUAAAGCUCGAAAGUGCGGGUAUCGAACAGGAUUAGAUACCCUGGUAGUCCGCACGGUAAACGAUGGAUGCUCGCUGUUCGU
rnacentral:rRNA from 1 species